GGGGGUAUAGCUCAGUGGUACAGCAUUCAACUGCUCAUCGAGAGGUCCCUGGUCCAAACCAAGUUGCCCCCU
rnacentral:tRNA from 1 species